AACGACGUUCAACAGAUUUGUUACAUAGUUAUCUCUCUGUAGUAUUAUGUAUGCAUAGGCUGAUCCAGGGGUGACCCUGGGGCCCCUCCUUUCGUGGGAAAUUUUUUGUUGAUUAUAUAGGGAAUCACUGAUUCAUGACUGGAGUGGCCUCCCUUAAAAAAGUUCCGAUCCGUCGCUGGUAUUAUAAACAAAGGAGUAGGUCCAGUAAGACCCCUUUUUGGCCCCAAAAUAAUGCAGUUUUACAAAAUUGUUAAAAUGUAAACUUUAAGUUAUUUAUUGGCUAGUUAAAUGCUUCUGCUACAUAAAUAUGGGCUGUUUUUGACAAUACAAUGCACAUAUAUCGGGUACUAACGCCAUUAAGUCAUGCUAAAUUACUGAAAUCUUCACAAUUCUAGCAUUUAAGUUAAAUUUUAUACCAUUUCUGUGUAAAACGAAAGUGGCCGCAUUCGUGUUCAUCCUUAAUAUUGAAAUGUAAG
rnacentral:lncRNA from 1 species